rnacentral:misc_RNA from 1 species
AAAACCAUAUACAGCCGUGACCAGAAAGGGUGGUAUGAGAACCAGGAAGUUUGUAACGCCUGCUUCGAUUUUCCCAAGGCUUCCCUUAAAACCAGCAAUGGACCUACACCCAUCUUCAUUUAUCCGAGAGACCAAGAUAUUUGGGUCUCAACUUCACUGCAAGACAAAGGAACAUUUGAAUCUGAAAAGCUGAUGGUCAUUUCCAAGAUGAUGAAAGAUCACCCCGAUCUUAAUAUAAUCGAUAUUGGAGCCAAUAUUGGUGUUUAUACACUGAGCACCGCAAAGGCUGGACGUAAAGUACUGGCUGUUGAGGCCUUGGAUAGGAAUAUGCAACAUAUCUGUGCUUCUGUCAUGGAGGGGGGCUUACAGGACAAUGUAUACCUUAUCCACAACGCUAUCUCUAACGGGCAUUCGGUCGUCAACUUGGGUGUGGACAAGAGUAACAUGGGCGGCACAUUUGUGGAUGUAGAUUCUGGCCAUAUCAAGGAACUGAAAUUAGGUCGGGCUCAGGGUACCUAUGGACAAGUGUACACUAUCACAAUGGAUGAUCUUCUGGAACUGCCAAUUAUGAAAGAAUUUCAAAAAGUGUUCAUUAAAAUGGAUGUUGAGGGUUUCGAAGCCCGUGCUGUCGAAAAGGCGACGAAAUUUUUCGAGAAAAUCAAUGUUGUUGGAUUUGUAAUGGAGUGGGAGUUCCACAGAAAUCAACCAACCGCAAAGAAAAUUAUUGAUUUUAUGACAGCGCGAAAAUAUAAACCUCAUGUAUGCAACGUUGGAAAAGCUCCGUUGAAUAUAGCUGAAAGUGGCAAAUGGGGAUAUGAUGUUCUAUGGCUACCAGGCUGAAACUUAGAGAUCGAUGUCAGUGUCUUACAAUUCUUGGGUUAAAUGUUCGUUUGGAUUAUAAAGUUUGGAAGCACAUACAUGUAGAAUACUUAGAAUUGUCUUUGAUACAUUUCACAGCGGAUCCCUUUUCACCUCUUUAUCUUUCUUGUUGCAUGUUGAUUAUAAAAUCCAGGUAUGUAGCUUCGUUUUCGACAGGAGGUGGGCAGACUCGUCCAAAAACAAAUCUGAUAAGCCAAAGAAAAAGGUAAUAUUCCAAAAUCAUGAAAUUCCCGAUCCUUUGGGGGUGGGGGUUGCGUAAAACAUUUGUCUAAAAAUUCAUUGUUUAUUUCAUUCAUUUUUUCCAUGUCCAUCACAACGACCAUUCUAAUAUGUUGACGGAUGUUCAAUGUGUUUUAUGAAUAUAUAUAUUUUUGCCUAUAAAAUUGCCCUUUUUUUAUCGAGUUUGACUUUUCGGAGUUUACGCUAGAAGAAAGUCUACAUUCAUCCACAUAGCUCUCUGUUCGCUGCUUACAAAGUAUUUUUUUUGUUAAAUCACGAGAUAAACAAGACCUAAUGUAAAAGUCUAAAGUAUAAGGUUGUUUUAUUUGCUCAACAUUUACUUCGAAUUAGUUUUUAACUGUUCGUCGUUUAGUUUUAGAUUUCAGUUCCCUUUUAAAUGAUACUUUUGAUUCACCAAUUUGAUAAUCCUUUCCAUCAGCCAGUACAGGUGCUAUUUCAUAAUGUAUGGGUUGAUAUUAUAAUGGAUUCAGUCGAUACGAAUUCAGUUUCAGUGUCAGACUGGCAGAGAAAGUAUUGAUUAAAGAUAUCAAAUUGUGAAACCUUACAUCAAUCACUCGUGGCAAGGUGAUAUUUGCACGGUGCUGAGCACGCCUAAAUCAAUUUCAAACUCAGUCAUGGGUGAAGUAUCUGGGAAUAAUUAUACUUUUUGGAUGAUAUGUUUGC